rnacentral:rRNA from 1 species
CCUACGGGAGGCAGCAGUGAGGAAUAUUGGUCAAUGGGCGCGAGCCUGAACCAGCCAAGUAGCGUGAAGGAUGACUGCCCUACGGGUUGUAAACUUCUUUUAUAAAGGAAUAAAGUGAGGCACGUGUGCCUUUUUGCAUGUACUUUAUGAAUAAGGAUCGGCUAACUCCGUGCCAGCAGCCGCGGUAAUACGGAGGAUCCGAGCGUUAUCCGGAUUUAUUGGGUUUAAAGGGAGCGUAGAUGGGUUGUUAAGUCAGUUGCGAAAGUUUGCGGCUCAACCGUAAAAUUGCAAUUGAUACUGGCAGUCUUGAGUACAGUUGAGGUAGGCGGAAUUCGUGGUGUAGCGGUGAAAUGCUUAGAUAUCACGAAGAACUCCGAUUGCGAAGGCAGCUUACUAAGCUGCCACUGACAUUGAUGCUCGAAAGUGUGGGUAUCAAACAGGAUUAGAUACCCCUGUAGUC